UACGUAGGGGGCGAGCGUUGUCCGGAGUUACUGGGCGUAAAGGGCGUGCAGGCGGUCUGCUAAGUUCGGAGUGACAGUUCCCGGCUCAACUGGGAGAGGCCUACCGAAAACUGGAAGACUUGAGGGCCAGAGAGGGACAUAGAAUUCCGGGUGGAGUGGUGAAAUGCGUAGAUAUCCGGAGGAAUACCAAAGGCGAAGGCAGUGUCCUGGCUGGCAUCUGACGCUGAGGCGCGAAAGCUAGGGGAGCGAACAGG
rnacentral:rRNA from 1 species